AAGUGGGUUUAUGCUAGGUGGUUAGUGAACACUUUACGCCUCUAUACCAAAAAUUCCACGUGGUUCGCCUUAAUGUCGUUCGUGUCUAGAGCCAGCUUUAGGGAGUAAUCAGUAUUUUAUAUUUAUUCUUUUAAAAUUCUCCGGCCGUAUAAUAAAAAAUUGAUGGUUUCUGAUGCUGUCGGCGGCGACGCAAAUUCAUUAAAUAUGAAAUAUAUUUACUGCCCAGCUUUAAAAAAAAAUAUACAACUUAAACGACAAAGCUUCCCUCACUUUAUUCUGCCACUUAUCUAUAUUAAAAAUGUAUUUACUUAUUACUUUAAUUAGUUUUUACAAAUGACCAUUAAACUCUGUCAACAUAAUAUCCUGUUUCUACAGGAUACAGUCAUUUAUUUAAUGAAUAAUCAUCGGUAGUUACUAGCAUUAUAGCAUUCAUGCCACGAAUCUCAGACCGUGAAAUAAAAUACUAUAUAAAAAGAUUAUAAGCAGCAUUAAGCCAGUAAUUUUCGUUAGUAUUAUUUGGUUUUAUUCAAAUAAGCCGAUGAUAAUAGAAUGUCACGAAAAGCGAGAUUCAUGGAAACAGAAAGUUUUAACUCGGUGCCCCGAAAAAUAAAAUAAUUAACCAACAUCAACAACUCGUCUCU